AUGCACAAUUUGAUGUCCUUAAAGUUAAGAUUUCAGUGUAUAGACACUUUAAGGUGGAAUCAUUUUUGGAUGCCGUUUGUCCUGGUUUUCAUUUUGGAUCUCUUCUCCUGCACCUCCCCUCCCCCCACCCUUGCAGGAGCACCGUGCGGCAAGUCACCAGGGUGGUCCGUCCAAGCUGCGGAUUUGUGUGUCGUCCUUGUAAGGCAGUCUCCUCCUCCGCGGCCCCUACAGGGAAGUGCCUCACAUAUCAGAAGAAAGUGGUUCGUGAAGAAGUCUGCGUUUGACUUGGUGACAAUCGGCUGUGGGUGUGUCAGGCUCGAGCCUGGUCGUCCUCAUUGUCACCUUUUCCUGAACGCGAUGAGACCGUUUCGCUGCCAAACUGUGACCGUAAGUCACGGUUCUCGCGUUUUAGGUUUUUGUUGUAGAGUGAUCCAGGCAUAGGGAUACAGAGGCCUGUUUGUUCAGUGGCAACCAGUAUUUGUCGAAUCUUGAGUGUCUUUGUGUCUGUUGGGAUUUUACAACUUCCUGAUUGCCUCACGUACAGUAAAUUUUUCUGGCCUGGAGAGUCAUGCAGACACAGGGUGUAUGCGGUGUGGAUGACUCAUGGUUCUAUAUUGAAGAGAGGACAAGAGGAUCCUGCCUGCAUGAAAUUGGGAGACAUGGAAGUUAGACAGAACCUGGGGCAAGAGGGCUUGGGAGCACUGGUAUAUGCAACCCAAGGGGAUUGUGAAAUAGAUCCCCUCUUGCUAUUUACCUUGGGAGCGGUCCUCUGGAACCUGUGGAAAUGGACUCUAUUCAGAGGUUCCCGAGCCUGGCUGGGCAACAGAAUCACCUGGAGAGCUGAAGGAAAGAGAGAGACAGAGAGAGAAAAAGGAUUUGGGGCUCCACCUCUUGAAUCAAAAUGAACCUUUCAUGGUCCCUUGGAAUCCUACUGAUGCCCCACAGGUUUGGGAACUGCUGGGUCGGGUGGUCUCUGGGCAGGUGUUCCUGAGUCAUGUUCUAUUUCCUUGCUUGGCGAGACACACAGUCUGCCGUGACCACACCUCACAUAGAAGGUUCUCAAUUUGCAGCUAACUUGUUAAGAGGUAGAUAUUUGCUUUACCAAAAUGUUCAGUGGAAAACUGAUUCACCAGCUUUCUUUAAAUAAAGGGCUCCCCCUCUAUACCUAAGAUUGAGUU
rnacentral:lncRNA from 1 species